GAUUAAAGGACACAUAUGAAAACACCUGGCAGAUACUAAGUGCCUGACAAGGGUCACUUGCCUUCCAUCCCCUCUUUCCCAGGCUUGCUGACCUUUCUACUGAUACUUUCCUGUCCACCGGGAAUGGUACUGGGAGGUUGAAACAGGUGGUUCUAAAGUGCCUGGCGCACAGAGGCUGUUCAGUAAAUGCUUCUCCUUUCCUUCAUCUCAUCAUCACCCUUGGCUCCUUUGCACACUCCCUCUUCUUUUUUUUUUUUGCGGUACGCGGGCCUCUCACUGCUGUGGCCUCUCCCGUUGCGGAGCGCAGGCUCCGGACGCGCAGGCUCAGCGGCCAUGGCUCACGGGCCCAGCCGCUCCGCGGCAUGUCGGAUCUUCCCGGACCGGGGCACGAACCCGCGUCCCCUGCAUCGGCAGGCGGACUCCCAACCACUGUGCCACCAGGGAAGCCCCUCCCUCUUCUUUAUAGCUCUAUCACAGCUCACCUGCUCUCCUUAUCCUCGCUUAUCCAUGGGGGGGUGUUCUCUCAACUUUUUUGGAAAUGUUUAAAUGCUUUAUUUAUUUAUUUAUUGGCCGCACUACGUGGCUUGCGGAAUCUUAGUUCCCCGACCAGGGAUCGAACCUGCACCCACUGCAGUGGAAGCACAGAGUCCUAACCACUGGACCGCCAGGGGAUUUCCCUUCUCUCAACAUUUUUUUUUUUUUAAAUAAAUUUAUUUAUUUUAUUUAUUUAUUUUUGGCUGCGUUGGGUCUUCGCUGCUGCCCGCGGGCUUUCUCUAGUUGCGGUGUGCGGGGGCUACUCUUCGUGGGGGGGUGCGGGCUUCUCAUUGCGGUGGCUUCUCCUGUUGCGGAGCACGGGAUCUAGGCGCGCAGGCUUCAGUAGUUGUGGCACUUCGGGCUCAGUAGUUGUGGCUCGCGGGCUGUAGAGCGCAGGCUCAGUAGCUGUGGCGCACGGGCUUAGUUGCUCCGCGGCAUGUGGGAUCUUCCCGGACCAGGGCUCGAACCCACGUCCCCUGCAUUGGCAGGCGGAUUCUUAACCACUGCGCCACCAGGGAAGUCCCUCCUUCUCCCAACUUUUGGUGCUCCAGCAUCCCCAUUGUCUCUCCAAGACAUAAACACACACACACCCACACGCACACGCACACGCACACGCACACGCAUGCACAUGCACACUCCUUGUUAAUACUCCUUGACCCUGGAGGGGAGAGAGUUGCUGGUGCUGAGGAUGAGUUUUCAAUUUGCACUAAGAAAGUAAGUGAGAUUCAUUUAAACCUCAGAGGAAAUUCCAGAGUCUAGAAUCUAGAGUGGGACUGUUCCAUCUCUUCUCUUUUCACUGGGAGAAAGCAUCUAGGGUGGCCCUUUUCCAUUUUGCUUCCCCUCCUCCUACAGGCAAUAUAUUGAACCCUACUGUGAGCCAGGCACUUGCUGGGCACUGAGUAAUUUCAAGAGCAAUGAGAUACAACCCUUGCCCUCUAGGAGCUAGUAAGUUUGUAGGAGAAAUGGGACCAUGGGUAACAAGGGCAAGGGAGCUAUUGCAAGGACUAACAAAGCCCUUUUUAAAUGUAAUACUUUAGGGCAGAGAGCAGCAUAAUUACCCGUAAUUUACAUUUGAGGAACUGGGGCUCAGAGAGGUUAAUAACUGGCCCAAGGGCACACAGCAGGCAAGCACUAGAGCUCUGUUUAUGCCACUCGAUGCCACUCUGUGAGACUCAGCUCCAGUGCUGUGAGAGGCAAAUCCCUGGCCGUAUACGAGGGAGGGAUCCCCCGAGUCAGGAGCAGGCGAAAAAUCUGCUGGGCGGGGUGAGUGGAGAGGCUGCUCUGCGUGACUUUUCUUUAGAUCAUCACUUACCGGGAUUACUUGCCCCUGGUGCUGGGGCCGGUGGCCAUGAGGAAGUACCUGCCCCAGUACCGCUCCUACAAUGACUCGGUGGACCCGCGCAUCGCCAACGUCUUCACCAACGCCUUCCGCUAUGGCCACACCCUCAUCCAACCCUUCAUGUUCCGCCUGAACAAUCAGUACCAGCCUAUGCAGCCCAACCCUCGUGUUCCGCUCAGCAAGGUCUUUUUUGCCAGCUGGAGGGUUGUGCUGGAAGGUGAGCAGGACCUAGGCCAGGAGUGAGUUAGCUGGCAGCCGAGGGUGGGAUGGGGGUGGGCUUGGUCACAGGGAGCUAGGGUGGAACAAAUCCUCCGUCCUUCCAUCUUUGGGCAUCUGAUCUGACUUUCCAGCCUCAGUUCACCUGACUCUGCUUGCACAUCUGAUAACAAAGAGUCGGGGGGAGAUGGCUUGCAAGGAGCUGGCUCCUUCCUGGGUGUUGUAUUGAAUAAUUCUCAGUGACCCAGGAGGUCAGGGGCUGGGAGCACCUGAGCCUUGCCAGUCUGCAUGGCAUUACCCCCGGAGACCUCAAAGCCUCAGUGAGGUCCUGCCCGCUGGGGACACCUUGACACCAGAAGCCGCGUGUGCCCAGCCCUCUUCUGCAGUCCCCCCGGUUCUACCUGACUCCGGUCUGAGCUCUGAUACUGAGCCAGAUCCUUCCCCCAGCCUUGCUCCUCUUGCCCCAGGUGGCAUCGACCCCAUCCUCCGGGGCCUCAUGGCCACCCCUGCCAAGCUGAAUCGCCAGAACCAAAUCGCGGUGGAUGAGAUCCGGGAGCGGUUGUUUGAACAGGUCAUGAGGAUCGGGCUGGACCUGCCCGCUCUAAACAUGCAGCGCAGCCGGGACCAUGGCCUCCCAGGUGAGGGGCUGGAGGAGCCUCCCAGGUGAGGGGCUGGAGGAGCCUCCCCGGCCCCGCCCCUCCCCACCUCCCACUCCAGGGCCUGCCCUCUCCAGUGCCCCCAGCUGCCCAGGGCUCCCCCGAACCCCCAGAAUGUUGCUCUUAGGAUGCGGUCUGAGAUCAGGCCCCUACCUCUCCCUGGGCCCAUCUGCCCCAUUUCCAGCACCUCCCGCCUCCUUGGUGUUGCUGUAACCCUCCAAGUUAGAGCAUCACCGUAAUAACCACAGCCCCCGCCCACAGUCUGAAAAUCUGUCCCCAUCUCACUUCACUUUGCUUCAUUUUACAUGAAUUCUGAGGGGAAGAGAUUAUUAUCACCUCCGUUUUACUGAUGAGGAAACCGAGGCUUGGAGAAAUUCAGAAUCUGCCCAGGUUCUCCAGCCAAGUCCAUGACAGAGCUGGAAUCGGAGCCCAGAUCAGCCUCAUGCCACGCCCGUGCCUGUGUUAUAAGAUAGCUGGUGUGGCUGAUUCUUCUAGACACACUGCGCCCAUCACGGGUCUGAGAUCUCCACAGGGGGCCGGGAGAUGCUCCUAUUCUUGGACCCAGCAGCAGUUAUGGCAAUUUAGGAUUUACCUUAGGGUGGGAAGGGUACAAUGCCUGGAGGCGCUUCUGCGGGCUUCCGCAGCCCAGCACGGUGGGCGAGCUGGGCACGGUCCUGAAGAACCUGGACCUAGCGAGGAAGCUGAUGGCCCAGUACGGCACGCCCAACAACAUCGACAUCUGGAUGGGUGGUGUGGCCGAGCCCUUGAACAGCAAUGGCCGCGUGGGCCUGCUUCUCGCCUGCCUCAUCGGGACCCAGUUCAGGAAGCUCCGCGACGGCGAUCGGUGAGGACAGAGGCCGAGGGGCUCAGGCCCGCUGCGUGGCGGUGGGCCUGUCCCUGAGCCUCGGGGGCCCCAGCUUCCUCCUGCUAGAAGGAGUGCGUUGUGGGGAGCCUCACGGUCAUCCCUAACGUGCCCUGAAUCUGUUGGGGGCGCGGCAAGGAGGGACCCGGACCCUUGGUUGUAAAGGAGGGAAGAGAGAAAAUGCCACUCGUAGUCACUUCUCCGGGUCCCGGGCUGCCGCCACGGCACCGCCGGUCUCUGUUGAAAGGUCCCAUCCUUGCUUUCCCACGGCUGCUCCUACUGUCAUUUCCCUGGGGUGACAUCUAUCACACCCAGUUCUACCCUAGCCUGAAUCGCGCCUUUGGGAUCAUUUUUAAAAGGUGUCCCACUCCGGGUGGACAAAUUAUAAACCACCCUCAAGAGCCUUUCUUCCCACGUGGAUGUAGCCCUGGCUACAUUGUGAAUGAGUGUGGGCCUGGCUCCCCGUCUGUCAUCAGCGGUGCCCGGAGGCUGCUGGGGCGUGGGCGGGGGAGGCAGCUGGGCAGCUGUGAGCGGCGCUCUAUUUGUUUGAACCCCCCUGGGCUGCCUGAGGGGCUGGAGCUCCCCCGUGCUGGGGGGCCGGUGUCUGCCGUGGUCCUCUGUCAUCCGGGAGCAGCUCCAGCCGGUGGACGCCCUCCCGGCCCAGGAGGGCCUCAGGUACAAUGGCCAGGGGUGUUCCCGUGCAGGUUUUGGUGGCAGAACAAGGGCGUGUUCAGCCCGCAGCAACAGCAGGCCCUGGCCAGGAUCUCCUUGCCCCGCAUCAUCUGCGACAACACAGGCAUCACCGUCGUGUCCAAGAACAACAUCUUCAUGUCCAACACGUUCCCUCGGGACUUUGUCAACUGCAGUGCACUCCCUGCGCUGGACUUGGCUUCCUGGAGGGAGAGGGACUAGAGACUGGGUAAGGGGGUGCAGUGGUGAGGUGAAGGUUGGGCAUACCUGGGCUGGCCGGUUGGAACCACAGAGAUCUCCCUUCCCUGGGUGAGCUCAUUCCUGUUCUGGGUGCCAGCCAGAAAAACCAAUGACUCGACAUUCAUUCGUGUGUGUGUGUGUGUGUGUACGUGUGUACGUGCGCAGUGAAUAUAAAUUGCAUUGUGUGUGUAUGUGUGUGUGUUGUGUGUGAACAUGGGUAGUAUUUUGUGUGCUGUGUAUGUGUGAGUGUGUGUUUGCUGUUUAUGUACUAAGUAUGGAAGGCAGCAGAGUGGAUUGGUGAGGAACACAAGCUCAGGAGCUAGACCGCUUGGGUUCAAACCCUGCCUCUGGGGCUUCCCUGGUGGCGCAGUGGUUGAGAGUCCGC